GUGCAUAUUAUACACAAAUAAAUAAGUCUUGUGUACAUUGAUCAACCGGGAGGGGUGCUAAUUGGGAUUGUUCACUAGCCAAUAUAUUAGCAAAUAUCUCUGUGGGCGCUUAUUAGAGCAGGGCACUUAUUGGAUCAAAUAAGGUAUUUGUUUUCUCCUUUCACCUUUUGGUAGACACAGAUAAAAAAUCACAGAUCUCACAGUUGACCCCUCAGAAUAUAAAUGCGUUGAACAGUCCAGUAUUUCAUAGGCGUGCUGUUUGAAAAUGAAUCGGCAGCUCGACGUGUACGCCAGUGAUGUUAGUGUCACUGUGUGAUGCAACAACCUCGUUCAUUUACAGUCUACAUGCGCUGUCACAUCAACUGACAAUAUCAGGGCGUGGCGUAUUGUCAAAUUUGCAACUUCUGCGCUGGUCAUUAACUUGUGUGUCAACCAGUAGCUGCAUUACCAGUCCGUAACACUCUCCAGACCACAUUGUUUUAAUAACAUUAACAUCAGUUAGUUGGGCUAUUAAGUAGCUGCAGUACCACUCCGUGACACUUUCAAGACCACAUUGUUUUAAUAACAUUAACAUCAGUUAGUUGGGCCAUUAAGUUGAUAAUGUUUGUCGUGAGACAAGUUUUUGCUGCAACAGCUGAUAUGGCUUCAUAAUGGAUGAUUAAUCACUCUUAAUGACUUUUAUGGCUUAGAUAUGACAGCAUGGUAACCUGCUUAUGUAUUGAGUUUGUUGAAAGCAGGGCACGAUAAAUCAUUGCUAUUAUUUAUGCUAAGACCUACCGUAAAGAGAUGGUAUACCACAGGUAUCAGUAGAGUAAACCACAGGUAUUCGUGGAGUAAACCACAGGUAUUCAUGGAGUACACCCCAGGUAUUCGUGGUGUAGUCCGCAGGUAUUCGUGGAGUACACCACAGGUACUCGUGGAGUAAACCACAGGUAUUUGUGGAGUAAACUACAGGUAUUCGUGGAGUAAACUACAGGUAUUUGUGGAGUAAACUACAGGUAUUCGUGGAGUACACCACAGGUACUCGUGGAGUAAACCACAGGUAUUCGUGGAGUAAACUACAGGUAUUCGUGGAGUAAACCACAGGUAUUUGUGGAGUAAACUACAGGUAUUCAUGAUGUAAACCGCAGGUAUUCGUGGAGUAAACCACAGGUAUUUGUGGAGUUAACUACAGGUAUCAGUGGUGUAGACCGCAGGUAUUCGUGGAGUAAACUACAGGUAUUCAUGAUGUAAACCACAGGUAUUCGUGGAGUAAACCGCAGGUAUUCGUGGAGUAAACCACAGGUAUUUGUGGAGUUAACUACAGGUAUCAGUGGUGUAGACCGCAGGUAUUAGUGGUGUACGCUGGCCACCCAGUAUGUGUGUGCCUGACGCUGGUUGACUGACUGCAGCGCUGUGUGAUGUGUGUCAGUAGUGUGUCAUCAGUUUGUCGUGUGGAAGGAUUUGUGUGCCAGAAUAAACAUUUUUAGCAAGA